rnacentral:rRNA from 1 species
GUGGAUUAGAUACCCUGGUAGUCCACGCCCUAAACGAUGCGAACUGGAUGUUGGGUGCAAUUUGGCACUCAGUAUCGAAGCUAACGCGUUAAGUUCGCCGCCUGGGGAGUACGGUCGCAAGACUGAAACUCAAAGGAAUUGACGGGGGCCCGCACAAGCGGUGGAGUAUGUGGUUUAAUUCGAUGCAACGCGCAGAACCUUACCUGGCCUUGACAUGCACGGAACUUUCCAGAGAUGGAUUGGUGCCUUCGGGAACCGUGACACAGGUGCUGCACGGCCGUCGCCAACU